rnacentral:rRNA from 1 species
GUCCUCUUGUUAUGUAUAUGAGGUCAGACCUGCCCGGUGAAUGUGUUUUAACGGCCGCGGUAUAUUGACUGUGCAAAGGUAGCAUAAUCAUUAGUCUUUUAAUAGGAGGCUGGUAUGAAGGGUUUAACGAGGUGUUGACUGUCUCAUUUAAUUUAAUAUUAAAAUUUAACUUUUCAGUCAAAAGGCUGAAAUAUUAUUGGGGGACGAGAAGACCCUAUAGAGCUUUAUAGCUUACGUUAUAAUUAAUUUUGGAUAUAUAAUUGUUAUUUAUGGCUUUGGCUAUUUUGUUGGGGUGACAAAAAUAUAUAAUUAACUUUUUGAUUUAUAUAACAUUGAUUUAUGUUUAUUAGAUCCAUUCAUUAUUGAUUGUUAGAACAAGUUACC